UAGGGAAUUUUCGUCAAUGGGGGAAACCCUGAACGAGCAAUGCCGCGUGAGUGAUGAAGGAUUUCGGUCUGUAAAGCUCUGUUGUAAAGGAAAAAAGACCGCCAUAGGGAAUGAUGGCGGAGUGAUGGUACUUUACCAGAAAGCCACGGCUAACUACGUGCCAGCAGCCGCGGUAAUACGUAGGUGGCAAGCGUUAUCCGGAAUUAUUGGGCGUAAAGGGAGCGUAGGCGGCACAUUAAGUCUGAGGUAAAAGCCAGUGGCUCAACCACUGUAAGCCUUGGAAACUGAUGAGCUAGAGUGCAGGAGAGGCAAAUGGAACUCCAUGUGUAGCGGUAAAAUGCGUAGAUAUUAGGAGGAACACCAGUGGCGAAGGCGGCUUGCUGGACGACAACUGACGCUGAGGCGCGAAAGCGUGGGGAGCAAACAGG
rnacentral:rRNA from 1 species